rnacentral:rRNA from 1 species
GAUGAACGCUGGCGGCGUGCCUAAUACAUGCCAGUCGAGCGAACAGACGAGGAGCUUGCUCCUCUGACGUUAGCGGCGGACGGGUGAGUAACACGUGGAUAACCUACCUAUAAGACUGGGAUAACUUCGGGAAACCGGAGCUAAUACCGGAUAAUAUAUUGAACCGCAUGGUUCAAUAGUGAAAGACGGUUUUGCUGUCACUUUUAGAUGGAUCCGCGCCGCAUUAGCUAGUUGGUAAGGUAACGGCUUACCAAGGCAACGAUGCGUAGCCGACCUGAGAGGGUGAUCGGCCACACUGGAACUGAGACACGGUCCAGACUCCUACGGGAGGCAGCAGUAGGGAAUCUUCCGCAAUGGGCGAAAGCCUGACGGAGCAACGCCGCGUGAGUGAUGAAGGUCUUCGGAUCGUAAAACUCUGUUAUUAGGGAAGAACAAAUGUGUAAGUAACUAUGCACGUCUUGACGGUACCUAAUCAGAAAGCCACGGCUAACUACGUG